rnacentral:rRNA from 1 species
AUUGAACGCUGGCGGCAUGCUUUACACAUGCAAGUCGGACGGCAGCACAGAGAAGCUUGCUUCUUGGGUGGCGAGUGGCGAACGGGUGAGUAAUAUAUCGGAACGUACCGAGUAAUGGGGGAUAACUAAUCGAAAGAUUAGCUAAUACCGCAUAUUCUCUGAGGAGGAAAGCAGGGGACCUUCGGGCCUUGCGUUAUUCGAGCGGCCGAUAUCUGAUUAGCUAGUUGGUGGGGUAAAGGCCUACCAAGGCGACGAUCAGUAGCGGGUCUGAGAGGAUGAUCCGCCACACUGGGACUGAGACACGGCCCAGACUCCUACGGGAGGCAGCAGUGGGGAAUUUUGGACAAUGGGCGCAAGCCUGAUCCAGCCAUGCCGCGUGUCUGAAGAAGGCCUUCGGGUUGUAAAGGACUUUUGUCAGGGAAGAAAAGGCUGUUGCUAAUACCGACAGCUGAUGACGGUACCUGAAGAAUAAGCACCGGCUAACUACGUGCCAGCAGCCGCGGUAAUACGUAGGGUGCGAGCGUUAAUCGGAAUUACUGGGCGUAAAGCGAGCGCAGACGGUUACUUAAGCAGGAUGUGAAAUCCCCGGGCUCAACCUGGGAACUGCGUUCUGGACUGGGUGACUAGAGUGUGUCAGAGGGAGGUAGAAUUCCACGUGUAGCAGUGAAAUGCGUAGAGAUGUGGAGGAAUACCGAUGGCGAAGGCAGCCUCCUGGGAUAACACUGACGUUCAUGCUCGAAAGCGUGGGUAGCAAACAGG